AAUAGAUACCCGGGUAGUCCACGCCGUAAACGAUGAGUGCUAAGUGUUAGGGGGUUUCCGCCCCUUAGUGCUGCAGCUAACGCAUUAAGCACUCCGCCUGGGGAGUACGGUCGCAAGACUGAAACUCAAAGGAAUUGACGGGGGCCCGCACAAGCGGUGGAGCAUGUGGUUUAAUUCGAAGCAACGCGAAGAACCUUACCAGGUCUUGACAUCCUCUGACAACCCUAGAGAUAGGGCUUUCCCUUCGGGGACAGAGUGACAGGUGGUGCAUGGUUGUCGUCAGCUCGUGUCGUGAGAUGUUGGGUUAAGUCCCGCAACGAGCGCAACCCUUGAUCUUAGUUGCCAGCAUUUAGUUGGGCACUCUAAGGUGACUGCCGGUGACAAACCGGAGGAAGGUGGGGAUGACGUCAAAUCAUCAUGCCCCUUAUGACCUGGGCUACACACGUGCUACAAUGGACAGAACAAAGGGCUGCGAGACCGCAAGGUUUAGCCAAUCCCACAAAUCUGUUCUCAGUUCGGAUCGCAGUCUGCUAAC
rnacentral:rRNA from 1 species